rnacentral:rRNA from 1 species
UACGUAGGGUGCGAGCGUUUAAUCGGAAUUACUGGGCGUAAAGCGUGCGCAGGCGGUUCGCCGUGUCCGAUGUGAAAGCCCCGGGCUUAACCUGGGAACUGCGCUUCUAACUGGCAGGCUUGAGUGUGGCAGAGGGGGGGUGGAAUUCCACGUGUAGCAGUGAAAUGCGUAGAGAUGUGGAGGAACACCGAUGGCGAAGGCAGCCCCCUGGGGUCAAGAUUGACGCUCAUGCACGAAAGCGUGGGGAGCAAACAGG